UGCCAGAACUGCUUUCUUUAAACUUCAGCCAUCUUUACCUGCAGUGGUUUUUCUAAAAGCACUUUUCCCCAAGGCAGACGGAGUUUAAAGACAGAAAGUUAGAAAAUCAACAGGAAAUUGGGCUUCUAAUCUUCUGUGCAAUUGACUAAACACCAAAAUCAAAUGUCUUUUUCACCAGCGUAGAGCGAAAGAGAUGAGGCUGAGACUGUCAGUCACCCAGUGUGAGGGGCUUGGAGCUGAGAUGAGAACUCUGCUUCAAAAGAAGACAGCUGGAGAGAAAGUGAGGAGACUUGUAAAGACAGACAGCAGCAGAAGUAGGAUUGGAUGGCCAGUGGUGCAGAGGGGUGUCGUCUAAGAAGCUACAUCCUCUUUUUGUGGCUGACUACACACAGCAUCAGUGUGAAGAAUGAGAGACGUGCUGUAAGUUGUAUUGUGUCUGUAAUUAAUAAUAAUGUCCCCUGCCACUUUAGCCAUUAUACAAGCUCAUCCUCUGCUGCACUCUUUCUUUUCCCUAAUCUUUCUACUCUCCCUCUUUCUCCUCGGUUUUGUGUUUAGAAGAACAGUGGACUAAGAGAUUAGUAUGUUGAAAAAAAGGCAAACAAAAAAUCAUUUUAUCUGACUGUUUAUCCGGUCGGAGAGUGUGAGCUUUGCCCACAUUAGGCUGUUUUGAAUUGCGAUUUCACCCUUCUCCUGGACACAGAAGACAUUUAUUAUUCUGCUAAACUCACUGUACUCGGGUUAAAAGCAAAUCCAUAGCUUUUGUGAUUCUGCUAAGUACAGAUUUGUGUCAGUGGAGCUGUAUGCUCUCACAAAGCCUGACUGAUGGGAUUAGAGACAAUUGCACUUGUUGUAUCUUAUCUGCAGGUUUCUCCAUUAUCAAACAGACCCCUUACAGAAAAAAAAAAAAAUCCUUGUCUGCCAGAGGUGAUGACUUUCUGUAUAUAAUAAUCCCUUCCAUCUGUAUGUAUCUGUUUGCUCUACC
ensembl:lncRNA